rnacentral:rRNA from 1 species
CAAUAGCGUAUAUUUAAGUUGUUGCAGUUAAAAAGCUCGUAGUUGGAUUUCGGAUGGGACUUGCCGGUCCGUCGUUUCGAUGUGCACUGGCCAGUCCUAUCUUGUUGUCGGGGACUAGCUCCUGGGCUUCACUGUCCGGGACUAGGAGCUGACGAGGUUACUUUGAGUAAAUUAGAGUGUUCAAAGCAAGCCUACGCUCUGAAUACAUUAGCAUGGAAUAACACGAUAGGACUCUGGCUUAUCUUGUUGGUCUGUGAGACCAGAGUAAUGAUUAAGAGGGACAGUCGGGGGCAUUCGUAUUUCAUUGUCAGAGGUGAAAUUCUUGGAUUUAUGAAAGACGAACUUCUGCGAAAGCAUUUGCCAAGGACAUUUNCAUUG